GAUGAACGCUAGCUAUAGGCUUAACACAUGCAAGUCGAGGGGAAACGGCAUUAUGUGCUUGCACAUUUUGGACGUCGACCGGCGCACGGGUGAGUAUCGCGUAUCCAACCUGCCCUUUACUUGGGGAUACCCCGUUGAAAGACGGCCUAAUACCCGAUGUAAUUCAUUGAUGGCAUCAGAUAUGAAUAAAAGAUUUAUCGGUAAAGGAUGGGGAUGCGUCUGAUUAGCUUGUUGGUGAGGUAAUGGCUCACCAAGGCGACGAUCAGUAGGGGUUCUGAGAGGAAGGUCCCCCACAUUGGAACUGAGACACGGUCCAAACUCCUACGGGAGGCAGCAGUGAGGAAUAUUGGUCAAUGGGCGCAAGCCUGAACCAGCCAAGUAGCGUGCAGGAAGACGGCCCUAUGGGUUGUAAACUGCUUUUAUACGAGAAUAAUUUGAUGCACGUGUGCGUUAUUGCAUGUAUCGUAUGAAUAAGGACCGGCUAAUUCCGUGCCAGCAGCCGCGGUAAUACGGAAGGUCCAGGCGUUAUCCGGAUUUAUUGGGUUUAAAGGGAGUGUAGGCGGUUUGUUAAGCGUGUUGUGAAAUUUAGAUGCUCAACAUUUAACUUGCAGCGCGAACUGUCAGACUUGAGUACACGCAACGUAUGCGGAAUUCAUGGUGUAGCGGUGAAAUGCUUAGAUAUCAUGAAGAACUCCGAUUGCGAAGGCAGCAUACGGGAGUGUAACUGACGCUUAAGCUCGAAGGUGCGGGUAUCGAACAGG
rnacentral:rRNA from 1 species